GAUGAACGCUAGCGGCAGGCUUAAUACAUGCAAGUCGAGGGGUAGCAAGAUUGUAGCAAUACAAUUGUUGACGACCGGCAAACGGGUGCGGAACACGUACACAACCUUCCUACAAGUGGGGAAUAGCCCAGAGAAAUUUGGAUUAAUACCCCGUAACAUAGCGAUGUGGCAUCACAUUGCUAUUAUAGCUUCGGCGCUUGUUGAUGGGUGUGCGGCUGAUUAGAUAGUUGGCGGAGUAACGGCCCACCAAGUCUACGAUCAGUAGCUGAUGUGAGGGCAUGAUCAGCCACACGGGCACUGAGACACGGGCCCGACUCCUACGGGAGGCAGCAGUAAGGAAUAUUGGACAAUGGACGCAAGUUUGAUCCAGCCAUGCCGCGUGAAGGAUUAAGGUCCUCUGGAUUGUAAACUUCUUUUAUAAGGGACGAAAAAAGGUCUUUCUAGAUCGUCUGACGGUACCUUAUGAAUAAGCACCGGCUAACUACGUGCCAGCAGCCGCCGUAAGAC
rnacentral:rRNA from 1 species